CAAUCACAUGAUAGAGAGUAUAAAUGACAAGUCAAAUCUCAAGCAAAACUGAGGUGAGAUAGCACUAAAUUAACUAUAUUAUUCACAGCCAAAUAAUUAUAAAGGUUAUAUGGGUUUAAAAUAAUAAUAAAAUCUAACAAUAGCUAAGCAUUACCAGGACGGCUAUCAUUUAUAAUUGUGCUGUACAUAAAGCAUGGUUUCAGGUAAUAUUAUGUAUAUAUACAGUACCUUUAUAUUACCUAUUACUGUUAUAUUUAUUAAGGUCAAAUACUAUAGUUUCUAGACUUAAAGUGACAUUGAAUGGUCGGUAAGUAAGUGGAGAUAGGAUUUAUAUUUGGACAAGAGUGAUUGUAACUGCUUUAAUAAACAGUACACAAGUACUAGUAACUUAUAAUCAGAAUAUUUGUCUAUGAUUGUACCGGUAAAUGGACAAUUGGUCCCUGUUAAAUAAACAAGCGCUGCCUACCUAAUGA